AGCGAACGCUGGCGGCAGGCCUAACACAUGCAAGUCGAACGGACCCUUCGGGGUUAGUGGCGGACGGGUGAGUAACACGUGGGAACGUGCCUUUAGGUUCGGAAUAGCUCCUGGAAACGGGUGGUAAUGCCGAAUGUGCCCUUCGGGGGAAAGAUUUAUCGCCUUUAGAGCGGCCCGCGUCUGAUUAGCGAGUUGGUGAGGUAACGGCUCACCAAGGCGACGAUCAGUAGCUGGUCUGAGAGGAUGACCAGCCACACUGGGACUGAGACACGGCCCAGACUCCUACGGGAGGCAGCAGUGGGGAAUCUUGCGCAAUGGGCGAAAGCCUGACGCAGCCAUGCCGCGUGAAUGAUGAAGGUCUUAGGAUUGUAAAAUUCUUUCACCGGGGACGAUAAUGACGGUACCCGGAGAAGAAGCCCCGGCUAACUUCGUG
rnacentral:rRNA from 1 species